GCUUCAUAAGAUGGGGACGUUAAGCAUGCAGCAACUACAGUCAUUUGUUCUCAGAGGAGGGCAUUUCCACUCUGAAUUUCCAGUUCCAAACAUUUCAGUUUUCCACCAAGACAUCAUUCCUGGGUUUGGGAUUCCUGAAUUUUCUCCACACAGAGGUCUGGACCAAAGAGAAACAAGAAAAGCUGGAGUCACACUACCAAAGGCCGAAGCUGAGCAACAGAGCUCUGGAGUCAGCUGCCUGGGUUCAGCAUGCAGCGCUGCCGUGGACGAUCUGUCUCUCUUGCAUAUAUGACUUACCAGUUUUACUUUCAGUCUCUCCAUUUCUAAUUAAAUGAGAUGCAGAAAUGCUGGUGCCUUGCUA
rnacentral:lncRNA from 1 species